GGCUGCGACGAUAGCACGUUGAAUGCUUCAAUUUCCAAUGGAGUCACUCAAGUUAAGCAACGUUGCGCCUAGGUGUUAUCCGGACGGGUGACCAUCUGGACAAUCGCGUGCUACUGGGU
rfam:Asian citrus Psyllid, Diaphorina citri - Florida Strain, whole genome shotgun sequence.